rnacentral:rRNA from 1 species
UACGUAGGGUGCAAGCGUUGUCCGGAAUUAUUGGGCGUAAAGCGCUCGCAGGCGGUCCGAUGCGUCGUGCGUGAAAGACCCCGGCUCAACUGGGGAGGGUCGUGCGAUACGGUCGGACUCGAGGCCAGUAGGGGGACGCGGAAUUCCGGGUGUAGUGGUGGAAUGCGUAGAGAUCCGGAGGAACACCAGCGGCGAAGGCGGCGUCCUGGACUGGUACUGACGCUCAGGAGCGAAAGCGUGGGGAGCGAUCCGG